rnacentral:lncRNA from 1 species
CUCCACUCCUCCGGCAUCUUUUUGGUCCUGAAGAUCGCAUUGAACAACCUGGAGAGCCACUCCACUCCUGACCUGCCCAUGCAUUUCCAGAACUCUACCGGGAUCUCGUCAGGCCCGGUCGCUCGACCCCUGCUCAUCCUACUCAAAGCCCCCAUGAUCUCUUCCGCCCUAAUGCGCCUGCAAUACCCAAGGUCUCUAUGUAGCUCUGAAUGCCCCAACUCCCCUAGCUCUAUGUUACGAUCCCCC